rnacentral:rRNA from 1 species
GGGACCUUUCCUUCGGGACAGAGGAACAGGUGGUGCAUGGUUGUCGUCAGCUCGUGUCGUGAGAUGUUGGGUUAAGUCCCGCAACGAGCGCAACCCCUAUCUUUAGUAGCCAGCAGUUCGGCUGGGCACUCUAGAGAGACUGCCAGGGAUAACCUGGAGGAAGGCGGGAAUGACGUCAAAUCAUCAUGGCCCUUAUGAUCUGGGCUACACACUUGCUACAAUGGUGACUACAAAGAGAAGCAAAGCUGUGAAGUGGAGCCAAUCUCAAAAAGGUCAUCUCAGUUCGGAUUGUAGUCUGCAACUCGACUACAUGAAGCUGGAAUCGCUAGUAA